UGAAUUUGGAAGUUUAUCUGGUUUGAAGCCUAAUCUUCAUAAGAGUAGUGUGUACGUAGCUGGUGAGAGUGAUGAAGUGGGACAACAAUUGUGCAACAUAUUAGAGAUGCCAAAGGGUGAACUAGUAGUUAAAUACUUAGGUUUGCCUCUUAUUUCAACAAAACUCAGCUACAAGGACUACCAACCUGUUUCUAUGAAGAUGCAGCAGAGGGUACAAAGUUGGGCAGCAAAAAGCUUACCUAUGGAGGUGUAUAUGGGAUAAAGUGCAAAGAUUGUGCUUACUAUAUAUGGGGUGCUUACCUUGGGAACAGGAAAUGGAUUGGUGGUGUCACCAUGGUGGUUCAAACUCCUUUGUUACUAAGAUUAGAAGAUUAUCUCUUACUAUCACUGUAUAGUACGUAUCUUUGGCAGGAGAGGAAUAGAAGGAUUUUACAACAUGUUGCUACAAGUACUGGACAACUUCUUACAGCUAUCACUAAAGUUGUCCAAAUUGUGGUUGUUUCAUGGCCUAAAGCUCCUCGGAUUCAAGAGAAUUAGCAGUUGAUGAUCGAUUGGGAAUUGUCGAUAGAGUGUGUGAUGUAAUAGUUGCAGUAGUAGCUAUAGAUAGACAAACUUGUGUAUAGUGGCGAUCACUGAAUAUCUCAGAUGUAGUAGGAGUUCUUUUCUUCGUUGCACAGCUAAAUUGCAUAUCAAUAAAAUAGUUCAUUUUUGCCUAAAAA